AUUGAACGCUGGCGGCAUGCCUUACACAUGCAAGUCGAACGGUAACAGGUUAAGCUGACGAGUGGCGAACGGGUGAGUAAUGUAUCGGAACGUGCCCAGUCGUGGGGGAUAACUGCUAGAAAGAGCAGCUAAUACCGCAUACGACCCGAGGGUGAAAGCGGGGGAUCGCCAGACAUCGCGCGAUUUGAGCGGCCGAUAUCAGAUUAGGGAGUUGGUGCGGUAAAGGCCCACCAAGCCGACGAUCUGUAGCAGGUCUGAGAGGACGACCAGCCACACUGGGACUGAGACACGGCCCAGACUCCUACGGGAGGCAGCAGUGGGGAAUUUUGGACAAUGGGCGCAAGCCUGCUCCAGCCAUGCCGCGUGCGGGAAGAAGGCCUUCGGGUUGUAAACCGCUUUUGUCAGGGAAGAAAAGGUUCUGGCUAAUACCUGGGACUCAUGACGGUACCUGAAGAAUAAGCACCGGCUAACUACGUGCCAGCCGCCGCAGUAAGAC
rnacentral:rRNA from 1 species